rnacentral:rRNA from 1 species
UACAGAGGGUGCGAGCGUUAAUCGGAAUUACUGGGCGUAAAGCGCGCGUAGGCGGUUUUGUAAGUCGGGUGUGAAAUCCCCAAGCUUAACUUGGGAACUGCAUGCGAGACUGCAUAGCUAGAGUAUGGGAGAGGGAAGUGGAAUUUCAGGUGUAGCGGUGAAAUGCGUAGAUAUCUGAAGGAACAUCAGUGGCGAAAGCGACUUCCUGGACCAAUACUGACGCUCAUGUGCGAAAGCGUGGGGAGCAAACAGG